GGGCACAUUUCGGAUUCUACGAAGUUAAUGGGAAACUAGACAAGAGUUACGCUUUGUGUAAAUUCCAUCUCAGCUGGCGUGAGCUUCUGGAAUUCCAACAUGGCAGUAGAUGUGGUCAGUAUUGCUAUGGUGGUCAGUCUCUUCAGCCCAGACCUGGAACCGGUCCAGAACAUCACCGACCCGGAGUAACCCGCAUCCCUCCGCUCUCAGUGGCACAGCAGACCGGUGUCUCCGUUCACCGGCGCUACACAGUUUGGAGUCGACUAAAGACUUUGCUUGCAUCUGGAUUGAAUGCGGAGCAAGUUCAGCACACAAAAGUGUUUAUAAUAAAGUCUGUGGAAAUCAUUUAAAUCCCUGCUGUGUGCUCCGUCUAUCCAUCACUUUGUUGAUGUCAAGCAAUAUGAUCAGCGGUGU